CAAGAAGGAAUUUUUUCCUAGUUUGUGGCAAAAUUGGAAGCGCUUCAGACCAGGUUUUUUGCCUUCUUUUGGAUCAACAGCAACAACAUUUGUGAGGAAGGCUGAACUUGAUGGACGCAAGUCUCUUUUCAGCUAUGUAACUAUGUAACUAAUUUAAAUACCUAAUCUGUAAGAUCAAUGGUUCUGUUACUGGUCUGUCAUCAUGUCAGGACUAUGUUGUCCAUUUUUUGCAAAUGAUGCCUGGGACCAUAACUACCGGUAUGUUCCCCUAUUUCUUUAUGUACAAAUCAUAAUUCUAAAGAUAAAGCAGCUCUGGAGGAUUACAUUGUGUUACAGUAAAUAAAUCAGGGACAAUGGUUGACAGUGUCCUCUGAACACAAUUAGGGAGUUGUGUUGGGGUCUGUUAAUUGGAUUUACCCCCUCCUCUGGAAUUAUUUGUACCUGAUGUCUUCUGUUAAUUAGCAUUUAAUAUUUUAAAACUCAUUACCUGUAGUCUGGUGUAACGCUACUUGAAUUAUUUGUUUUAAAUUAGGCUUUCAAUUGUUUGAGAUUCACCAUGUUAUAAUUAGUUUACUUUUCCCCUGGACCUCUCAUGUCCCUGGUGGGUCAAUGUUGUCUAUGUGUUAUUUGGAG